UGGGGAGGAUCAGCGCAAGGCCCCGAGAUCAUCGGGGUGACGAGGACGAGGGUUCCCUACUGCGAGGUGGGGUCAACCGGAUAAUGCUGACGGCUCCCAACCGUCACACCGGGAAAAUCGAGAGAUCAGCGGAUGCCCUCCGGGCGUGCCACGGCCCGAAACUUCCCCUCCAUUAAAUCCUACAGGUAAUACCAUGUUGGUAACAGCGUGGACAAAACUGUUGGGAGUGGCGAUC
rnacentral:ncRNA from 2 species